rnacentral:rRNA from 1 species
GACGAACGCUGGCGGCGUGCUUAACACAUGCAAGUCGAACGGAAAGGCCCUGCUUUUGUGGGGUGCUCGAGUGGCGAACGGGUGAGUAACACGUGAGUAACCUGCCCUUGACUUUGGGAUAACUUCAGGAAACUGGGGCUAAUACCGGAUAGGAGCUCCUGCUGCAUGGUGGGGGUUGGAAAGUUUCGGCGGUUGGGGAUGGACUCGCGGCUUAUCAGCUUGUUGGUGGGGUAGUGGCUUACCAAGGCUUUGACGGGUAGCCGGCCUGAGAGGGUGACCGGCCACAUUGGGACUGAGAUACGGCCCAGACUCCUACGGGAGGCAGCAGUGGGGAAUAUUGCACAAUGGGCGGAAGCCUGAUGCAGCAACGCCGCGUGCGGGAUGACGGCCCUCGGGUUGUAAACCGCUUUCGCCUGUGACGAAGCGUGAGUGACGGUAAUGGGUAAAGAAGCACCGGCUAACUACGUGCCAGCAGCCGCGGUGAUACGUAGGGUGCGAGCGUUGUCCGGAUUUAUUGGGCGUAAAGGGCUCGUAGGUGGUUGAUCGCGUCGGAAGUGUAAUCUUGGGGCUUAACCCUGAGCGUGCUUUCGAUACGGGUUGACUUGAGGAAGGUAGGGGAGAAUGGAAUUCCUGGUGGAGCGGUGGAAUGCGCAGAUAUCAGGAGGAACACCAGUGGCGAAGGCGGUUCUCUGGGCCUUUCCUGACGCUGAGGAGCGAAAGCGUGGGGAGCGAACAGGCUUAGAUACCCUGGUAGUCCACGCUGUAAACGGUGGGUACUAGGUGUGGGGUCCAUUCCACGGGUUCCGUGCCGUAGCUAACGCUUUAAGUACCCCGCCUGGGGAGUACGGCCGCAAGGCUAAAACUCAAAGGAAUUGACGGGGCCCCGCACAAGCGGCGGAGCAUGCGGAUUAAUUCGAUGCAACGCGUAGAACCUUACCUGGGUUUGACAUGGAUCGGGAGUGCUCAGAGAUGGGUGUGCCUCUUUUGGGGUCGGUUCACAGGUGGUGCAUGCCUGUCGUCAGCUCGUGUCGUGAGAUGUUGGGUUAAGUCCCGCAACGAGCGCAACCCUUGUUCACUGUUGCCAGCACGUUAUGGUGGGGACUCAGUGGAGACCGCCGGGGUCAACUCGGAGGAAGGUGGGGAUGACGUCAAGUCAUCAUGCCCCUUAUGUCCAGGGCUUCACGCAUGCUACAAUGGCUGGUACAGAGAGUGGCGAGCCUGUGAGGGUGAGCGAAUCUCGGAAAGCCGGUCUCAGUUCGGAUUGGGGUCUGCAACUCGACCUCAUGAAGUCGGAGUCGCUAGUAAUCGCAGAUCAGCAACGCUGCGGUGAAUACGUUCCCGGG